rnacentral:rRNA from 1 species
GGGCUCACACAAGCGGUGGAGCAUGUGGUUCAAUUCGAAGCAACGCGAAGAACCUUACCCGGGUUUGAAAUCCACGGAUGGGUCUGAUGAAAGUCGGAUACCCUGCCCGCAAGGGUGAAACGUGGACAGGUGUUGCAUGGCUGUCGUCAGCUCGUGUCGUGAGAUGUCGGGUUAAGUCCCUCAACGAGCGAAACCCUUGUCUCUAGUUGCCAACGGUUCGGCCGGGGACUCUAGAGAGACUGCCGUUGUGAAAACGGAGGAAGGUGGGGAUGACGUCAAGUCAUCAUGGCCUUUAUGUCCGGGGCUACACACGUGCUACAAUGGUCGGUACAAAGGGAUGCAAAGCCGCGAGGUAGAGCAAAACUCAAAAAACCGGCCCCAGUUCAGAUUGGAGGCUGCAAUUCGCCUCCAUGAAGAUGGAAUCGCUAGUAAUCGCGGAUCAGCUACGCCGCGGUGAAUAUGUUCCUGGGCCUU